rnacentral:rRNA from 1 species
UGAGGAAUAUUGGUCAAUGGGCGGGAGCCUGAACCAGCCAAGCCGCGUGAGGGAGGAAGGCCCUAUGGGUCGUAAACCUCUUUUGUCAGGGAACAAAAGCGAGUAUGUAUACUAGUCUGAGUGUACCUGAAGAAAAACGCAUCGGCUAACUCCGUGCCAGCAGCCGCGGUAAUACGGAGGAUGCGAGCGUUAUCCGGAUUUAUUGGGUUUAAAGGGUGCGUAGGCGGCGGUGCAAGUCAGCGGUAAAAGCCCGGGGCUCAACCCCGACGAGCCGUUGAAACUGCAGUGCUAGAGAAGGCGAGAGGUACGCGGAAUGCGCAGUGUAGCGGUGAAAUGCUUAGAUAUUGCGCAGAACUCCGAUUGCGAAGGCAGCGUACUGGCGCCUGACUGACGCUGAGGCACGAAAGCGUGGGGAUCGAACAGGAUUAGAUACC